rnacentral:rRNA from 1 species
GCUUGUCUCAAAGAUUAAGCCAUGCAAGUCUAUGUAUAAAUCUUUAUACGGUGAAACUGCGAAUGGCUCAUUAUAUCAGUUAUCGUUUAUUUGAUAAUCACUGCUACUUGGAUAACUGUAGUAAUUCUAGAGCUAAUACAUGCGUCAAUGCCCGACUUUGGAAGGGCUGUGUUUAUUAGAUCCAAAACCAAUGCGGGGCAACCCGGUUUUGUGGUGAAUCAUAGUAACUUUUCGGAUCGCAUAGCUUCACGCUGGCGAUAGUUCAUUCAAAUUUCUGCCCUAUCAGCUUUCGACGGUAGUGUAGUGGACUACCGUGGCGUUAACGGGUGACGGAGAAUUAGGGUUCGAUUCCGGAGAGGGAGCCUGAGAAACGGCUACCACAUCCAAGGAAGGCAGCAGG